rnacentral:rRNA from 1 species
AUGAAGAAGCGCCUGGCAAACGGGACAAUAAAGUGCGAUUCGCCGGGAGUCUAUCGGCUUGGUGGCCUUCCCGACGACGUGCUCGGGCGCAUCCUCGGCUUCCUACCCACCCCGCUGGCCGUGCGCGCGACCCAGCUAUCGCGGCGUUGGCGGCGGCUGUGGCCGGCGCACGUGCUCGCCCUCAACCUAUCCGUCCAGGACUGCAAGAACCGUGGCGUGGGGGUCAGGUUCCCCGACCUCUGCGCGCGUGCCCUCGCGCGGUUCCCGAUCUUCUCCAUCCCCUCCAUCUCCCUCGAGUUUUGCACGCGCGACCAAAUCGGAGUCGGCAAGGCCAAAGCAUGGUACGCCGAGGCCAUGGAGCGCGCAGCGGGGUCCGUGAGCGUCACGGUGCUACGGGGGGCAUUCCCGCUGGCGCUCCCGCGGUUCACGCAGGCGGCGGCCCUGUCCCUGACGCUGACCCACAGAAUCGAUCUGGAGCUCCCGGCGGCCGGGGACGAUCCGGUGCGCUUCGGCAGGCUGACGGAGCUGGUCCUCGCCACGAUGCGGCUGCCCGCCGACUCGCCUCCGUUGCACGAGUUCCUGUCGUCGUCCUGCCCGCGGCUGCGGAGGCUGCGCCUGUGCUGCGUGAGAGGCGGCGAGGCCGUGCGCGCGCUGGUCCUCCGCUCCGACGCCCUCGAGGCGCUCGACCUCAACAAUGUGGACGGCAUGGCGAGGCUGGACGUGGCGGCCCCCAACCUGCGGUCGCUGAGCGUGCGCUCCUGCUUCCGUUUCCCAAGGAGCGGCGACCAAGACACCGAGGUGGUUGUCUCGGCGCCGAGGAUGGAGUCCGUCUGCUGGUACCGCAGCUACCCGAGGCGGCUCAGCACCCCCGACGGCAGCCUGGCGCGCGUCCGCCGGCUCUCCGGCCUCAAGCUCGCGACGCUGGGCCGGAGCGACAGCUUCGACUUCCCUUACACGAUGCAGCUGCUGCAGGCCUGCUCCCUCACCACCGAGCACCUGGAGCUGGACCUGGUGCUGCCGGACGAGAUGACCCUCGACAACUGGCUAGGCCCGGAGGAGCGGGGCUCGCCUGCGUGCGAGGACCUGAUGAGACACGUCCCGCCAUUGCCCCGUGUCACCGUGCUCUCGCUCAAGGUUCGGUGGGGGAUUGGUGGCGACGUCGGGCCGUGCCUGGCCUCCCUCCUGUCGCGUGUCCCGAGCGUGGCAACGAUUCACGUGGGACCAGCCCCGUACUGUCUCACCGUCUUGGGGGGCGCAGUCGUACCGCGAGGAGAGUGCCGGUGGGGUCGUUGCGUGGACGAAAGGAGUAGCGGUGGCCAGCUGGGCUCUCUCCGAGAGAUCGUUGUCCACGGGCUCAGGGGAACGGACGGCGAGGAGUGCAGCCUCGUCGAGGUUCUGCUUGGGACCGUGCCGCCGUCGAUCGAGAGGAUAUCUCUCAGGUUUCACGACGCUACAGCCGCGUCGGUCGUCGACGAGAUCGCAGCCGAGUUGCGAGCACACUUCCCUACGGCGACUGCUGGGUGUUGGACCAGGGCGGCUUGCUCGACCACGCUCGAAUGGACCAAACGCAAGCUCACUCCACGAGAACGGAAGGGAUAA